UCCAGAUGUAAUGUCCAGAAGUUGAAGAAAAAUCUAGAAGAUGCCACAUAAAACAGCACAGAAGUCGAAGACAUGACAAAAAAAAUAUCCUAUAUGAUACCAGGAACAUUCGCAAUAAGACAGGGAGAGAUGCUGGAAGAAAAAGGAAAAAGGAGAAGUGAAAUCUAUCUCUGAGCUGACAAAGCCAGAAAAAAGAAGCAAGAGAAGGCAAUGGAAAUGCAACCAACGGAAUAGAAGACAGGCUUGAAAGAGAGCAGUUGCAAUGGAGACCUACCUAUCAGGCAGACAACACAACACCUCAGUCACCACAUGACUUGCAGCCAGAACAUGAGGCCAACAUACCUGCCCCUGAUGCACACCCUGAUACCCCUUCCUCAUCGUCUGCAACAGGAAUGAGAAGUCAAAUACUUGCUGGAAGUAAAAAGGUUGGAAGGGGUCGUUCAAAAACAUACACAGAUCUUUGAAUGACAAUGUCAAACUUGAUAAUGCCUUACAGAAAGCUGAGAAAAACUGAUGAAGAAAAUGGGGAGAAAGAUUCCCCAAAGACAAGAAGAAGGGGAACUGAAAGGAACUCCAAAGAACUUAAGAAGGAUUUUAUUUUAUUGUUUCAAAAUGCCAUCAUUGCAGAGUUAAAGCAAAAAUAUCAAAAAAUGUGCAUUGCCAAGGACAAACAACUGGCUUAAAAAAUGCUUAGAGGCAACAUCCUGAGAAAAUAUGUCCUGGUCAAAGCUGCAAACGGAUCAUUUGAAUUUUCAGCAAAAGCAAUGAGGGCAAAUGAAAACAGGUCAACAAGUCUUCAAUACUCCAGGAAAAAGCAGUGUAACAUAAUUAGCACAGCCACAGAAGAGAAAAUCACUUGAUUUUAUGAACGUGAUGACAACAGUAGAGCAACAAAAGGGGAAAAGGACACACUAGGAAGAAAAAAAAGAAAAAGCAGAAGCGCUUCUUUAAUGGCAGAAUUCAGAACCUUUUCCUACUAUGCAUUCUGCAAAAUACGUCCUUUUUGGGUUGUCAAGCUAAUAGUCCAGGAUAGGGACACAUGCCUCUGCAAAACCUACGCCAACCUCCAGUUCAUGGUGGACAAACUACAGUAUCACAGCAGUCGGGUGUUAUAUAUCUCAAAGGCGAUAAAGAGCAUGGAGGCCCUCCCACCAGAUCACCUGGAGACAAUCUGUAGGACAAUGAAGAUACACCAGAUCGUCAGCGACAGUCCAGAGGAUACUCAGUUGCUUCUGUUCCUUUCCACAUCACUGCACUCCACAGACUGUGACUCUGUUUGAAGAAAUAGAGGCAGACCAAGAUGGAAAAUCCAACACAUCUCACAGCGCCUUCCAGCCCGUUGAAGAUCUAAGUGAAGCAUUGAUUGGAAAGUGGUGUGGGGUGGAGUGUGAUCAGGACGUUUACCCUGGCAUCGUGCAAGACGUUCACACAGAGAGUGGUGCUCUUGUUAAAAUCAUGAGUCGCGUUGGCCCCAACCGUUUUUUGGGGGGCCGAUGAGUGACAACAUCAUAUGGUACAGACCACAGCAUGUGCUUGGACUUGUCCCUGAACCCGACCUCGUGACCAAGAGGUACAUGGAGCUGGAUGGUUGGUCUGAGAGGAAUGUGGCCCUAUUUCUAAGCCUUAGAUACUCAUAUACAGUACAAAGCAGGACAUAAAAUCAUGCAUUAAAUAAAACAUGUGCAGCUCUCAAUUAACUUUUCCCUCAAUAUAUAGGUGCUGGAAGUUCUAGUUGUUGCAUCUAAGUGUAGUCAAAGACCAAACAUUGUUCUUAUGUUAAAAAGGUGCUAGUUCCAGUGUUUUAGAAUCUUACUUUGUCUUUUAUUAUUUAAAUGUUUAAACAAUGGUUGUGGUUCAAAAUGUUAGCAAUAAAAUAUUGU